rnacentral:lncRNA from 1 species
AGCUGCUGGAGACGGUGCUCCCCCGACGGAUGAUGCUGUAGAAGCUGCUGGAGAUGGUGCUCCCCCGACGGAUGAUGCUGGAGAAGCUGUUGGAGAUGGUGCUCCCCUGAUGAAUGAUGCUGGUGAAGCUGCUGGCGA